UCCCUGGUAGAUCCUACAGUAGUAGCACAUGCCAGUCUCAAAAGUUAAUCCACGGUGUUGUUGUGAAUGGCUGGAUGAGGGUUCAGCUCCUGUAUAGAUAACUGGUUAUUGUAGAACUGAUCCACACUUGCGGCUCCAGUGACUCUGGUGAUUCUUGGUAACUUAGAUCAAUCACAUUUUCUCCCCACCCCCGCCAUGGCCCUGUCACUCUUAGGUGGCAGUUGUAGUGCCUACUGAGGCGACCACUGUGACCAAGAAUCUUAAUAGGGAAUCUCAAUUUGGUUCUGCAGAGAGAGAGCCUGAUAAAUUAAUACCCUAUCUAAAGAAUGCAGCAGGCGCACAAAUUACCCACUCCCAACUCUGGAGGAUAGUGAUUAAAACAACAUAGAACUCUUUCAAGGCCCUGUAGUUGGAAAGAGUCCAGUUUAAAUCCUUUAAAGAGGAUCUGUUGCAGGACAAGCCUGGUGCUGGCAGCCAUGGUAAUCCCACUUUCAAUGUGGCGUGCUGAAUUCCUGGCAGUUAAAAUGCUUGUUUUUGGAUCUUAAUGUGCUGCCGGGGUCCAUUGCAAGAAAGUCCAUGCUUCUUGUCUUUUGGUACCUUAUGGGCUCUUCUUCCCUGAGUUUCCCUGGAGCUGAAGUGUGCACUUGAAGAAAAUUAGUGUUCAAAGUAACAUGGGCUGCCUGGAUACUGCUGGUGGGAAUCAUGGAAUGGGAGCGUGGUUCUAUUUUGUUUGUGUCAGAACUUUGAGGAAGCUGAUUAAGCAGGGCAAUUGGGGCAUUAGUAUUGCACCGCUAGGACUCAAAUUCUGGGCCAGUAAUAAGACUGAUCAGAGUGAAAGCUUUUGCCAAGGAUGUUUUCAUUAACCAAGAAUGAAGGUGAAAGUGGGAAGUUUAAAGAUGUUCAGGUCCUGUGUAGUUAUGAACAUAAAUGUGAUUUUGACCACUGCAUUAAUGCCCAUGACCCACUAGCAGCUUCCAGGAAACCAGAGCCCUUUGGGUCAUGGUAGGGGGAAGGUCUGUGUUCAUAGUUGAAACCUUUUCAAAGGCAACAGCAGUAGAGACAGCUUAAUUUGACUGAACAUGAGCAACCUUACCCGCUUCCAGCACAGACAGGAUUGUCCCAUUGAUAGUUAUUCUGUGGGUGGGGGUGCAUGGCUUUUCUACUUGAUGAAGAGAUUUGACUAGUAGUUAAUCGAUAACCAGGGAGACUAGCAUGCUAACCAGUUAGGUGAGCAUUCGGCAUCCCCCAAUUUAGACAAAUGGCACUCAGCCAUCUGAGAUUGAGCAGUUAGGCUCUGGAUCGCCCAACUGGUUAGCACACUAAGUAACCAGAUAGAGCUCUCCACCAGCCUAGAAAAGGCAUGCACCCCCACCCACAGAAGAGUAGCCACAGGCAUGUGAUGCUCUUAAAUGCCACGCUCUUAACCACGCACCACACUGCUCUCGGCAUGUGCUCACUUGAAUCCGAUGGAUGCCAGAGACCUGUUAAGUCCAUUAGUGAUGGGGAUCGGGAUUGUAGUAAGUCCUCGUUAAGGAAGAGUUCCCCGUGAGAGAGCAGGCCGAAAGUGUGCAUUAAGUUUCUGCCCAUUCUCCCUCCAAUAGGCCACUAGGGAUUGGCUCUUGGCCCUGAUGGAUAGCUGAGAACAGUCUAAAAUAAAAGUUGUAACCAGGGUUCCCUAAGUGGACCCGGGUAGGAGCUUUA
rnacentral:rRNA from 1 species